AUGAUUAAACGGAAUGAACUCAUCAACUUAGUUAAGCAGGUUGUGUUGUCUGACUCUCCAGAACAACCUGUUUGGAUGUUGGAGUCUUCCAGCAAGUACUCUGUCAAGUCCUUUCAUAAAUUAAUCAACUUUGGGGGGUUGUCUGCUGAGAUUAAAGAUGAUAUUUGGAAAAUUAAAGUCCCACCUAAUAUCCAUGUCUUUUCGUGGUUGAUUUACUAUAAUAAGAGCUUGACUAGAGAUAAUCUUGCCAAACGUAGGCAUGUAGAGGACAUGACAUGUGUCUUUUGUGAUGAACCAGAGACAAUUCAACAUCUUUUCUUUGAAUGUAUUGUUGCUACACAAGUAUGGGAACUAGUAGCUGAUAGUUUUAACAUUAUUACACCUGAUUCUUUUGCUUUGCUGUCUUCCUUCUGGAAGAGGAGGAAACAUUAUGAAGCUUUGAACAUAUAUACUUGUUGCUGCUACCUUGUGGAGCUUAUGGUAUUUGCGAAAUGA
rnacentral:rRNA from 1 species